UGGGGAAUAUUGGACAAUGGGCGAAAGCCUGAUCCAGCCAUGCCGCGUGUGUGAAGAAGGUCUUCGGAUUGUAAAGCACUUUAAGUUGGGAGGAAGGGCAUUAACCUAAUACGUUAGUGUUUUGACGUUACCGACAGAAUAAGCACCGGCUAACUCUGUGCCAGCAGCCGCGGUAAUACAGAGGGUGCAAGCGUUAAUCGGAAUUACUGGGAGUAAAGCGCGCGUAGGUGGUUUGUUAAGUUGGAUGUGAAAGCCCCGGGCUCAACCUGGGAACUGCAUCCAAAACUGGCAAGCUAGAGUACGGUAGAGGGUGGUGGAAUUUCCUGUGUAGCGGUGAAAUGCGUAGAUAUAGGAAGGAAUACCAGUGGCGAAGGCGACCACCUGGACUGAUACUGACACUGAGGUGCGAAAGCGUGGGGAGCAAACA
rnacentral:rRNA from 1 species